rnacentral:rRNA from 1 species
AUUGAACGCUGGCGGCAGGCCUAACACAUGCAAGUCGAGCGGAUGAAGGGAGCUUGCUCCUGGAUUCAGCGGCGGACGGGUGAGUAAUGCCUAGGAAUCUGCCUGGUAGUGGGGGAUAACGUCCGGAAACGGGCGCUAAUACCGCAUACGUCCUGAGGGAGAAAGUGGGGGAUUUUCGGACCUCACGCUAUCAGAUGAGCCUAGGUCGGAUUAGCUAGUUGGUGGGGUAAAGGCCUACCAAGGCGACGAUCCGUAACUGGUCUGAGAGGAUGAUCAGUCACACUGGAACUGAGACACGGCCCAGACUCCUACGGGAGGCAGCAGUGGGGAAUAUUGGACAAUGGGCGAAAGCCUGAUCCAGCCAGGCCGCGUGUGUGAAGAAGGUCUUCGGAUUGUAAAGCACUUUAAGUUGGGGGGAAGGGCAGUAAGUUAAUACCUUGCUGUUUGACGUUACCAACAGAAUAAGCACCGGCUAACUUCGUG